rnacentral:rRNA from 1 species
AGUGAACGCUGGCGGUAGGCCUAACACAUGCAAGUCGAACGGCAGCACAGUAAGAGCUUGCUCUUACGGGUGGCGAGUGGCGGACGGGUGAGGAAUACAUCGGAAUCUACUUUUUCGUGGGGGAUAACGUAGGGAAACUUACGCUAAUACCGCAUACGACCUACGGGUGAAAGCAGGGGAUCUUCGGACCUUGCGCGAUUGAAUGAGCCGAUGUCGGAUUAGCUAGUUGGCGGGGUAAAGGCCCACCAAGGCGACGAUCCGUAGCUGGUCUGAGAGGAUGACCAGCCACACUGAAACUGAGACACGGUCAAGACUCCUACGGGAGGAAGCGGGGGGGAAUUUUGGACAAUGGGCGCAAGCCUGAUCCAGCCAUACCGCGUGGGUGAAGAAGGCUUUGGGGUUGUAAAGCCUUUUUGUGGGGAAAGAAAAGCAGCAGGUUAAUACCCCGCUGUUCUGACGUUACCCAAAGAAUAAGCACCGGCUAACUUCGGG